rnacentral:tRNA from 1 species
GCGAGAGUGGCGGAACCGGCAGACGCGCGGGACUUAGGAUCCCGUGGGGAAACCCGUGAGGGUUCGAGUCCCUCCUCUCGCACCA